UUUUCCAAGGAAGAAUUGAAAGAUCUCUGUGCUAACCCUUUAACAUUUUUUCAGGUAGGAAACCAUUAUCACUUAUCGAGGUAAACCCUGACUUGAAUUUCGAUCGAAGUAAAGCAUUAGGCAUGCGGCUAAAUAUACCAGCGGGAACAGCUUAAAGAUUUGAGGUCGAGCGAGCAUUUUAACCUUCAUCUGUUGAUAAGCUUGUUGUUUGAUCAUUGAUUAAGUCAAUUAACGGUUAUUCAUUGAUCAUGUUGUGGGUGUUGGUUAUGUAUAUGUGUCGACACAGGAUGGUAUGAUUUUUGAUAAAUUGGAGGGUGCAGAUCCUUCCAGUCUCGCCAAAAAAGUUGCCAAGGUUACUGGGCUUAUUAACCCUGGAGAAGCUGCUGCUCCUGCUAGUCUUGGGAUGGCUGCCGGCCCCACCGUCCUUGAGACGGUCCAAGAUUUGGCAAAGGUAAAUGGUUCAUCCCAGACAGGAAAUCAAGUGCAAACUGGUCUCGACGACAAACUUAAAAAACGCUUACAUCCUUUUCUUUUCCUUGAUUUCAUUUUUUUUCUCGAGUGAUGAUUGCAGAGUUGAAGAAGUCGUUGCACGUUGUGUUCUCACAAUUCGGAAAGAUACUGGAUGUGUUAGCAUUGAAGACGCUGAAACACAAAGGUCAAGAUUGGGUUAUUUUCGAGGAUGUUAGCUCCGCUACCAAUGCUCUUAGGCGAAUGCAGGGCUUUCCCUUUUAUGACAAGGAGAUGGUAUAUGUAUUUUUGCAAUUGGUUUCUUGUUUCUGUCAUUGAUGGAGACUGCAACAAGUUUCCAAGCUCCGCUUUUAAUAUGUCAAAAUUGUUUUUCCUUGUUUCUGUCUAUGAAUUAUUAUUAAAUUCUCUAUGUUU